AGCGAACGCUGGCGGCAGGCUUAACACAUGCAAGUCGAGCGGGCGUAGCAAUACGUCAGCGGCAGACGGGUGAGUAACACGUGGGAACGUACCUUUUGGUUCGGAACAACUGAGGGAAACUUCAGCUAAUACCGGAUAAGCCCUAACGGGGAAAGAUUUAUCGCCGAAAGAUCGGCCCGCGUCUGUUUUGCUAGUUGGUGAGGUAAUGGCUCACCAAGGCGACGAUCAGUAGCUGGUCUGAGAGGAUGAUCAGCCACACUGGGACUGAGACACGGCCCAGACUCCUACGGGAGGCAGCAGUGGGGAAUAUUGGACAAUGGGGGCAACCCUGAUCCAGCCAUGCCGCGUGAGUGAUGAAGGCCCUAGGGUUGUAAAGCUCUUUUGUGCGGGAAGAUAAUGACGGUACCGCAAGAAUAAGCCCCGGCUAACUUCGUGCCAGCAGCCGCCGUAA
rnacentral:rRNA from 1 species